CAUUAAUUGGCUUGACGCCGGAGUGAUCUGGAGCAGGUGACGGUGGCUCGGGAUCAGACUCUGGCUCCAGAUCUGGAGCAGGUGACGGCGGCUCGGGAUCAGACUCUGGCUCCAGAUCUGGUGGAGGGACAAAAGGCUCCACAACAUCCACAUCACUACAGGG